rnacentral:rRNA from 1 species
UACGUAGGGUGCAAGCGUUAAUCGGAAUUACUGGGCGUAAAGCGUGCGCAGGCGGUUAUGUAAGACAGGUGUGAAAUCCCCGGGCUUAACCUGGGAACUGCAUUUGUGACUGCAUAGCUAGAGUACGGCAGAGGGGGAUGGAGUUCCGCGUGUAGCAGUGAAAUGCGUAGAUAUGCGGAGGAACACCGAUGGCGAAGGCAAUCCCCUGGGCCUGUACUGACGCUCAUGCACGAAAGCGUGGGGAGCAAACAGG